rnacentral:rRNA from 1 species
AUUGAACGCUGGCGGCAGGCUUAACACAUGCAAGUCGAGCGGAGAGAGGUAGCUUGCUACUGAUCUUAGCGGCGGACGGGUGAGUAAUGCUUAGGAAUCUGCCUAUUAGUGGGGGACAACAUUUCGAAAGGAAUGCUUAUACCGCAUACGUCCUACGGGAGAAAGCAGGGGAUCUUCGGACCUUGUGCUAAUAGAUGAGCCUAAGUCGGAUUAGCUAGUUGGUGGGGUAAAGGCCUACCAAGGCGACGAUCUGUAGCGGGUCUGAGAGGAGGAUCCGCCACACUGGGACUGAGACACGGCCCAGACUCCUACGGGAGGCAGCAGUGGGGAAUAUUGGACAAUGGGCGGAAGCCUGGUCCAGCCAUGCCGCGUGUCUGAAGAAGGCCUUCGGGUUGUAAAGGACUUUUGUCAGGGAGGGAAUCCCUAGCGUUAAUACCGCUGGGGGAUGACAGUACCUGAAGAAUGAGCACCGGCUAACUACGUGCCAGCAGCCGCGGUAAUAC